rnacentral:rRNA from 1 species
UCUAUAUGGCCUUUGGAUUGGACUGCGUCCGAUCAGGCUGUUGGUGAGGUAAUGGCCCACCAAACCUGUAACCGGUACGGGCUCUGAGAGGAGGAGCCCGGAGAUGGGUACUGAGAAAAGGACCCAGGCCCUAUGGGGCGCAGCAGGCGCGAAACCUCUGCAAUAGGCGAAAGCCUGACAGGGUUACUCUGAGUGACUUUCGCUAAGAAAGUCUUUUGACACCUCUAAAAAUGGUGUAGAAUAAGGGGUGGGCAAGUCUGGUGUCAGCCGCCGCGGUAAUACCAGCACCCCGAGUGGUCGGGACGAUUAUUGGGCCUAAAGCAUCCGUAGCCGGUUUUACAAGUCCUCCGUUAAAUCCAGCUGCUUAACAGAUGGGCUGCGGAGGAUACUAUAAGACUAGGAGGCAGGAGAGGCAAGCGGUACUCAGUGGGUAGGGGUAAAAUCCGUUGAUCCAUUGAAGACCACCAGUGGCGAAGGCGGCUUGCCAGAAUGCGCUCGACGGUGAGGGAUGAAAGCUGGGGGAGCAAACCGGAUUAGAUACCCGGGUAGUCCCAGCUGUAAACGAUGCAGACUCGGUGAUGGACUAGCUUCAUGCUAGUCCAGUGCCGCA